rnacentral:lncRNA from 1 species
UUGGUGGACAGCUGUUAUCUUCUAAGCUUGUGUUAGAGCUGGGCAAAGAGGAAGCUGCUCAGGAUUGGAAGGUGGGAGAGAAGCAUCAGCCAUCACUCUCUGAGGUCGCCACAGUCAGAUGGAGUGACAGAUGAAGAGAUGCCUGGUGGGUCCCAGCUUGUCCUCGUUCUUCUCCCUUUGCCUCCAGCUCUUCUCCCUGGCUACCUACCCUGUUGGCCAAUGGCGGCUCAUGCUCAUCACCAGGCAUGUGGCUGCAGACACACGGAGGUGGGAGCCAUGCAGAGGCACCGGCUCUUCACAACCCUCUCUGCCAGCACCCGUUUCAGGGUCCUCCUUUGAUGUUGGGUGUGCUUGGCUUCUCCAAGUGACAGGUUAGUGCCUCCCCUGGGCCUCCAUCUGAUCUUCUGGACCUUUGCUUCCGCAGCUUCCCUCAAUUAUGCAAAUUCUAGGUCUGAUUCCUAGAAUAAAUACUGGAUCUCAAAGCACUCACAGGAUUCUGCUCCCCUGGCUGAACUCUGGUGGAAAUGAUGUCAUGUGACUUCGAAACUAGGCCUUAAGAGUCCUUGCAGUUUUCCCUGUCCUGAGGCCACAUCAUGCUGUGAAAAAACCCAACUUAGCAGAGGCUGAGAAGUUACACGGAGGAGAAUGGAAGAGCCCUGGUCAAUACACACAACUGUGAAAAAAAUAACUCACUGUAGACAUUUUUUUUAGGCUGAGAAAAUAUUUUUCUAUUAAUUGGUUGAUCUGUCAUUAUAUUCCAUUGCAUAGUCAGUGAUAAUAUACUAAGUAAAGUUUAGUGUAACCAUAUUAGAAUAAUCUAAAUUUGAAGAUAUUUAUUAGCUUUAUUAACUUAUACAAAAUAAAAUUCACUGCUUUUUUAUCGUGGUAAAAUAUAGACAACAUACAAUUAACCAUUUCAGCUACUUUUAGGUGUGCAGGUCAGUGGCAUUAGGUACAGUCACAUUGUUGUAUAAACAUCAUCACUAUCCACCUCCAGAACUUUUUCAUCAUUCCAGACAGAAACUCUGUAGCCAUUACACAACAAUUCCCCAUUCCCCCACCCCUUAGUGUAGGUUUUUUUUUCCCCAUUUUUUUUUGAGAAAGGGUCUCACUCUCUCACCUAGGCUGGAGUGCAGUGGCAGGAUCAUGCUCACUGUAACCUCCAACUCCUGGGUUCAAGUGAUCCUCCCACCUCAGCCUCCUGAGUAGCUAGGACUACAGACGUGUGCCACCAAGCCUAGCUUUUUAUUUUAUUUUUUGUAGAGAUGGGAAGGAGGCUGGCUAUGUUGCCCAGGUGCCCUCAGUGUAGUUUUAGGCCACUAAAUUUUGGGGUACGUUGUUACACAGCCGUAGAUAACUGAACAUUCAUACUUGGUGAGGUCAUAUGCUCUAAUUUUCUAGUUUAAAAAAUAGUUUCUCAGGCAAAACUAUGGAGAUGGUAAAAAGAUUUGUGUUUGC